GCAGUGGAAGUGACUUCUCAGCCUAAGGGAGUCCAGCUGGAAGGAAGGUCUGGUCUUCUCUCGUCUGAGCCCUGAGUACUACGACCUGGCAAGAGCCCACCUGCGUGAUGAGGAGAAAUCCUGCCCGUGCCUGGCCCAGGAGGGCCCCCAGGGUGACCUGUUGACCAAAACACAGGAGCUGGGCCGUAACUACAGGACCUGUCUGAUGAUAAUCCAAAGACUGAAGGAUAUGGUGGAGGAUCAGCCCACCCAGGUGAGGCCAAGGGGCUACAGAGCCUCCUGUCUGCUGCUCAAUGGAGGGGCCAGCCUGUGACCAGGUCGGGGAUCGGGGAGCCCGGGGGCACCUUGCACAGUGAUCCUGGGGGAGGGCUUCCGAGAAGGGAAUCUGUGAGUCCCCGUGUGUCUGUGGAUGAAUUUCAGAGAACUUGUGAAAUUGUGACUCUCUGGAACUGUGUAAGUCAGACGGCAGAGUAUACAUGGUUUUCAUCAUGUAUCCUCAAAGAGGGCUUGUCCCAGAGAAGUUAGGAAUCUUCCCCUAAAGCCCUAACGUUUGUGUCCAAGGCAGAGUUUGAGAAGCUAGUUCCCCAAGAGGCCUGGGUCAGGACUGAUAAAUCCCAGAUCUGCUACUUCCAAGCUGCAUGGCCUUGGGCAAGUCACUUCCACUUUCUGAGCCUCUGUUAUCUUAUCUUUGAAAUGUGAUGGAUAAUAGUCCCUAUCUUGCAAGUUGUCAAACCCUUUUUUUUUUUUUUUUUUUUCCUUGAGAUAGGAUCUUACUCUGAGACCCAGGCUGGAGUGCACUGGUGUGAUCUUGGCUCACUGCAACCUCUGCCUCCCUGGCCCAAGCAAUUCUCCUGUCUAAGCCUCCUGAGCACCUGGGGCUCCAGGUGUGCGCCACCAUGCCCAGCUAAUUUUUGUACUUUUGUAGAAACAGG
rnacentral:sRNA from 1 species